rnacentral:rRNA from 1 species
AGACCCGAAACCCGGUGAUCUAGCCAUGGGCAGGUUGAAGGUUGGGUAACACUAACUGGAGGACCGAACCGACUAAUGUUGAAAAAUUAGCGGAUGACCUGUGGCUGGGGGUGAAAGGCCAAUCAAACCGGGAGAUAGCUGGUUCUCCCCGAAAGCUAUUUAGGUAGCGCCUCGUGAAUUCAUCUCCGGGGGUAGAGCACUGUUUCGGCUAGGGGGCCAUCCCGGCUUACCAACCCGAUGCAAACUGCGAAUACCGGAGAAUGUUAUCACGGGAGACACACGGCGGGUGCUAACGUCCGUCGUGAAGAGGGAAACAACCCAGACCGCCAGCUAAGGUCCCAAAGUCAUGGUUAAGUGGGAAACGAUGUGGGAAGGCCCAGACAGCCAGGAUGUUGGCUUAGAAGCAGCCAUCAUUUAAAGAAAGCGUAAUAGCUCACUGGUCGAGUCGGCCUGCGCGGAAGAUGUAACGGGGCUAAACCAUGCACCGAAGCUGCGGCAGCGACACUGUGUGUUGUUGGGUAGGGGAGCGUUCUGUAAGCCUGCGAAGGUGGCCUGUGAGGGUUGCUGGAGGUAUCAGAAGUGCGAAUGCUGACAUAAGUAACGAUAAAGCGGGUGAAAAGCCCGCUCGCCGGAAGACCAAGGGUUCCUGUCCAACGUUAAUCGGGGCAGGGUGAGUCGACCCCUAAGGCGAGGCCGAAAGGCGUAGUCGAUGGGAAACGGGUUAAUAUUCCCGUACUUGGUGUUACUGCGAAGGGGGGACGGAGAAGGCUAUGUUGGCCGGGCGACGGUUGUCCCGGUUUAAGCGUGUAGGCUGGUUUUCCAGGCAAAUCCGGAAAAUCAAGGCUGAGGCGUGAUGACGAGGCACUACGGUGCUGAAGCAACAAAUGCCCUGCUUCCAGGAAAAGCCUCUAAGCAUCAGGUAACAUCAAAUCGUACCCCAAACCGACACAGGUGGUCAGGUAGAGAAUACCAAGGCGCUUGAG